GGAGUUAGCCGGUGCUUCUUCUGUGAGUGAUGUCCUUCCUGCCGGUUAUUGACCCGCAGGCCUUCUUCCUCACUGAAAGUGCUUUACAACCCGAAGGCCUUCUUCACACACGCGGCAUGGCUGGAUCAGGGUUGCCCCCAUUGUCCAAUAUUCCCCACUGCUGCCUCCCGUAGGAGUCUGGGCCGUGUCUCAGUCCCAGUGUGGCUGAUCAUCCUCUCAGACCAGCUACGGAUCGUCGCCUUGGUGAGCCGUUACCUCACCAACCAGCUAAUCCGACAUAGGCUCAUCCGAUAGCGCGAGGCCCGAAGGUCCCCCGNUUUCCCCCGUAGGGCGUAUGCGGUAUUAGCCUGGGUUUCCCCCAGGUUAUCCCCCGACUACCGGGCAGAUUCCUAUGCAUUACUCACCCGUCCGCCGCUCGCCACCAGGGAGCAAGCUCCCCGUGCUGCCGCUCGACUUGCAUGUGUUAGGCCUGCCGCCAGCGUUCAAUCUGAACCAGAUCAAAUUCUGA
rnacentral:rRNA from 1 species